rnacentral:rRNA from 1 species
UACAGAGGUCCCGAGCGUUGUUCGGAUUCAUUGGGCGUAAAGGGUGCGUAGGCGGCGGGGCAAGUCUGAUGUGAAAUCCCGGGGCUCAACCCCGGAACUGCAUUGGAUACUGCCUUGCUCGAGUACUGGAGAGGGAACUGGAAUUUACGGUGUAGCAGUGAAAUGCGUAGAGAUCGUAAGGAAGGCCAGUGGCGAAGGCGGGUCUCUGGACAGUUCCUGACGCUGAGGCACGAAGGCCAGGGGAGCAAACGGG